UCUAUGGGAAAUCUAAAAUAACAGAGCAGAGAAUGGGGGCUACCAGGGGCCACUGGUCAAACAACUCGAAGGUUCAUUUGCACAGGAGAAACAAGCCCAAGAGCUCUACAUUUGGGAACUACUUACUGCAUCUUCAAAAUUGCUAAAAGUGGUUAGCUGCUCUCACCAUGAAAAAUGAUGGUGGGGUCAGGCUCUGGGAGGAGCUGAGGUCCUGAGCAGGGAGCCUCCUGGAUGGGACCAGAACCUUCAUAAAAGAGACCCCAUGGCACUGCCUCCCCAGCCCCCAUGUAAAGACAGAGAGAGAUGGCGCCAUCUACAACCCAGGAAGUGGCUUCUCAGCAGACUCCAAAUCUGUCACUGCCCCAUUUUGUCUCGGACUUCCGGCCUCUAGGACUGUGACAAAGCAAUCUGGGUCUUGUAUAAAUCAUCCAAGGCUGCUGCACUCAGUGACUGAGCUAGAUUGUGUCGGGAUUCUAGAGCAGAAACAGCUUUUCCUUGGAGGUAAGCAGUGGCAGAGGAGUGACAGUGAGUGUGAGAUUACAGGAAGCUGGAGGAAAUGUCACCUGAGAUAUCAACAAGGAAGCAGUGUAGGAUGGGGGUGGGGUGGGGAUUGGGAUGUGGAGCGGUCCCUGGAUGGGCAGAGAUAGGCACUCAGAAUGGGGACAGCUACAGAGCAGGACACUGAACAGAUACAGAUGUGGGAGGGGAAAGAAAGGACACCACCUUGGGGACAAUGUGUUUUAAUAAGGGUGGCUGGAAGAGAAGGCACCCAUGAAGUGAUGGCCAGGGAUCUCAGAGGAGAGCAACCAAGUUGUGCCUGACAGUCCAGACCACUUGUUUGUUAACUGGUCUGGAAAGGGGAAAGGGAAUGGAAUUUGGCAGGACAUAAACUACCUCAAGGCUGGACAGUUUUAAGGUCACAUUAGCAUUUCAGGGCAGGCAGGCCUGAAGUGUGAUGGUAAACUUUGUAAAUAGGUGCCUUGCUAAGUUCUAUAGUUGCUAUUUUAUUUAAAAGAGGAAAUGUGAAUUGUGUUCGAUUUCUGUGCAUCAUCACUGACUUUUUUUCCUUCUUCUUCUUCUUAAUUUUGAGACAGUCUUACUAGGUUGCCUAGGCUGGCUUUGAACUCACAUAGUCUUCCUGCCUCAGCCUCCAAGAAUACUGGAAUUCCAGGCAUUUACCACCCAUGCCUGGCCUAUCAACAACCUUUAAAGUAGCAAGGGAUAAUUUAAGCUUCGUACAAACAUCUUUAAUAGAAUCUAACCUUUUUUUUUUUGGUGUUAAAACUAACAAAAGAUUUUUUUGCUACAUAUUUAAGCCACUGUAAUUAGAAACGAUUUUCACUUAAAUUGUUUUCCUCUUCUAACAAAUUAACAACCACAAGAAUGGCCAAGACUUACUUGCAAAAUGUUGCUGGUUUUCAUUUUAAAAUUUUGUUUUUUAUGAACUUAGUCAAAAUGAUGUCUUUUCUGUUCUGAUAAACGUAAAAGAACUCA